GGGUUAGCUCAGUUGGUUAGAGCGUGGUGCUAAUAAUGCCAAGAUUGCGGGUUCUAUCCCCAUAUGGGCCA
rnacentral:tRNA from 1 species